rnacentral:rRNA from 1 species
CCUACGGGGGGCAGCAGUAGGGAAUUUUCGUCAAUGGGCGCAAGCCUGAACGAGCAAUGCCGCGUGAACGAGGAAGGUCUUCGGAUCGUAAAGUUCUGUUGAAGGGGAAAAAGAGCGGAGAGAGGAAAUGCUUUCUGAAUGAUAUUAAGCUUCGAGGACGUCUAGGCUAAUUACGUGCCAGCAGCCGCGGUAAUACGUAGGAGGCGAGCGUUAUCCGGAAUGAUUGGGCGUAAAGGGUGCGUAGGCGGCCUGCUAAGUCUGGAGUGAAAGGUUCCGGCUCAACCGGUACAGGCUCUGGAUACUGGCGAGCUAGAGAGCAGGAGAGGGCGGUGGAACUCGAUGUGUAGCGGUAAAAUGCUUAGAUAUAUGGAAGAACACCAGUGGCGAAGGCGGCCGCCUGGCCUGUUACUGACGCUGAGGCACGAAAGCGUGGGUAGCAAAUAGGAUUAGAUACCCCUGUAGUC